AACUGGGAUUAGAUACCCUACUAUGCCCAACCAUAAACUUAGACAAUACUUCACCAUAUUGUUCGCCAGAGUACUACAAGCGCUAGCUUAAAACCCAAAGGACUUGGCGGUAUCCCACACCCACCUAGAGGAGCCUGUUCUA
rnacentral:rRNA from 1 species